GAAUAUAUGGGAGAUGUCACAAAGAGAAGAAGAUAUCUUAGUCCAAGAAUUUGAACGCCGAAUUGCAUUUAACAAAUUCCAGAUUGCCAGUUUUAUUAAAACCCAUAUAUUUAGUCGGAGGAGGCCUAUAGACGGUUGGAAGUAUAUGAUAGAGGAGAUCGGUCCAAAUGCCAGAAAAGGGAAGGGUAGUGUUUCAAGGUUACCUAGUAUAGCAGAUGCAUCAACUCGACCUUUCAGGGAGGAAGAAACAUCGUCAAACACUACUUUCCCCUCUAAUCGAGGGAGGACUGAAAGGAGGUAGCAUUUUGUAAAUUCUUUUUCUUGGAACAGAGUGACAUUGCCAAAUCUGAGUAUGCAUGUUGAAAAUUAGUGUUGAACUUGUAUGUUCUAUUGAAUUAACAAAAAAAUUUU
rnacentral:misc_RNA from 1 species